GACGAACGCUGGCGGCGUGCUUAACACAUGCAAGUCGAGCGGAAAGGCCCUUCGGGGUACUCGAGCGGCGAACGGGUGAGUAACACGUGAGUAACCUGCCCUUGGCUCUGGGAUAGCUCCGGGAAACCGGAAUUAAUACCGGAUAUGACCUCGGCCGACAUCGGCUGUGGUGGAAAGAUUUAUCGGCCAGGGAUGGGCUCGCGGCCUAUCAGCUAGUUGGUGGGGUAACGCCUACCAAGGCGACGACGGGUAGCCGGCCUGAGAGGGCGACCGGCCACACUGGGACUGAGACACGGCCCAGACUCCUACGGGAGGCAGCAGUGGGGAAUAUUGCGCAAUGGGCGAAAGCCUGACGCAGCGACGCCGCGUGGGGGAUGAA
rnacentral:rRNA from 1 species